rnacentral:rRNA from 1 species
UACGUAGAGUGCGAGCGUUAAUCGGAAUCACUGGGCGUAAAGCGCACGUAGGCGGGUCGUUAAGUCGGGGGUGAAAUCCUGGAGCUCAACUCCAGAACUGCCUUCGAUACUGGCGAUCUUGAGUCUGGGAGAGGUGAGUGGAACUCCGAGUGUAGAGGUGAAAUUCGUAGAUAUUCGGAAGAACACCAGUGGCGAAGGCGGCUCACUGGCCCGGUACUGACGCUGAGGUGCGAAAGCGUGGGGAGCAAACAGG